rnacentral:lncRNA from 1 species
AGUUGCUGUGCCCUGGAUUAGGUGCGUCUAGGCAUGUUUGGCCACACAUACAGACAAGCCUUGCUCUUUCACUGCACGCGGCAGCGGG